GGGGGUCUGAGACUUUGUUCGCACGGUGGAUGUGGUCGGGCGGAGACUCGGCCGCACGAGUUCCGACGGUGUUCAGUUUGUGGCAGAGUAAAUUACUGUUCAAGAGGAUGCCAAGCGCAGGACUGGAAAGUCCGGCAUAAAGAGGAGUGUACGGCCGUUCAGCGGUGGCGGGAUGAGGCUGCUAACAAUGCCGGCGGCAUGUUUGAUAUUGUAGAAGAGGUUGAGGACGCCAACAUCGUGGGUAUUGUAUAAAAUCAUAACAGCG
rnacentral:misc_RNA from 1 species